rnacentral:rRNA from 1 species
AUACGGAGGGUGCAAGCGUUGUUCGGAAUCACUGGGCGUAAAGGGCGCGCAGGCGGUUUGGUAAGUCAGAUGUGAAAGCCCAUGGCUCAACCAUGGAAGUGCAUUUGAAACUGUCAGACUUGAGUACUAGAGGGGAAAGUGGAAUUCCCGGUGUAGAGGUGAAAUUCGUAGAUAUCGGGAGGAAUACCGGUGGCGAAGGCGACUUUCUGGCUAGAUACUGACGCUGAGGCGCGAAAGCGUGGGGAGCAAACAGGAUUAGAAACCCGUGUAGUCC